rnacentral:rRNA from 1 species
UACGUAGGGCGCAAGCGUUGUCCGGAAUUAUUGGGCGUAAAGAGCUCGUAGGUGGCGUGUCGCGUCUGCCGUGAAAGCCCAUGGCUUAACUGUGGGUCUGCGGUGGAUACGGGCAGGCUGGAGGCUGGUAGGGGCAAGCGGAAUUCCUGGUGUAGCGGUGAAAUGCGCAGAUAUCAGGAGGAACACCGGUGGCGAAGGCGGCUUGCUGGGCCAGUUCUGACGCUGAGGAGCGAAAGCGUGGGGAGCGAGCAGG